AACGAACGCUGGCGGCAGGCUUAAUACAUGCAAGUCGAACGUGAAAGUCCUUCGGGACGAGUAAAGUGGCGCACGGGUGAGUAACACGUGGGAACGUACCCUAGGGUGGGGGAUAACUACGGGAAACUGUAGCUAAUACCGCAUAAUGUCUUCGGACCAAAGAUUUAUCGCCUUAGGAUCGGCCCGCGUUGGAUUAGCUUGUUGGUGGGGUAAUGGCCUACCAAGGCGACGAUCCAUAGCUGGUCUGAGAGGAUGAUCAGCCACACUGGAACUGAGACACGGUCCAGACUCCUACGGGAGGCAGCAGUAGGGAAUAUUGGGCAAUGGGCGAAAGCCCGACCCAGCCAUGCCGCAUGAAUGAUGAAGGCCUUAGGGUUGUAAAGUUCUUUCGCCGAUGAAGAUAAUGACGGUAGUCGGAUAAGAAGCCCCGGCUAACUUCGUGCCAGCCGCCGCAGUAA
rnacentral:rRNA from 1 species